UCUACGGGCGGCAGCAGUGAGGAAUAUUGGUCAAUGGGCGCGAGCCUGAACCAGCCAAGUAGCGUGAAGGAUGACUGCCCUACGUGUUGUAAACUUCUUUUAUAAAGGAAUAAAGUGAGGCACGUGUGCCUGUUUGUAUGUACUUUAUGAAUAAGGAUCGGCUACCUCCGUGCCAGCAGCCGCGGUAAUACGGAGGAUCCGAGCGUUAUCCGGAUUUAUUGGGUUUAAAGGGAGCGUAGAUGGGUUGUUAAGUCAGUUGUGAAGGUUUGCGGCUCAACCGUAAAAUUGCAUUGGAUACUGGCAGCCUUGAGUACAGGAGAGGUAGGCGGAAUUCGUGGUGUAGCGGUGAAAUGCUUAGAUAUCACGAAGAACUCCGAUUGCGAAGGCAGCCUACUAGACUGCCACUGACAUUGAGGCUCGAAAGUGUGGGUAUCAAACAGGAUUAGAUACCCCAGUAGUC
rnacentral:rRNA from 1 species